rnacentral:rRNA from 1 species
UAAGUAGGCGGAGGAAAUGACACAAACAUGGAUUCACUGGGUAACUGCGAGUGACAUGUGAUUUGCUCACAGCUGAUAUUCUUUGCUGUAUGCUUUGACAUGAGGACUUUGAGUGUGGUGCCAAUGGUGGUGUAAGUGUGAGCCAUCUUGGAAAAGAGAAGAGUGUGCACUUACAAGGGUGAGAAGCCUGUGUGUGCUUACAGAAUCUCCACAUGUGGGUCUCACUUUGAGAAUCAUGCUCUUUGGAAGUGGAGUGUAAAGUGGGCGGUAGACUCUUCUCAAAGCUGAGUACAAAACUGGGACAGACAGGGAAGAAGUACCAUGAGGGAAGUGUGAAAAGGACUUUGGAAAGAGACUUAAAAGAGCCUGUACGUGCUGAAGGAUACGCAUACAGCAUGCUUGCAUGUGAGAUGAUUGCUGUGGGUGUGCGGCUGUCUUUGACUGGAUGACUGUGGACAUGUGCCAUGGACACUUGACCACCUAUUGUGUAUCCUCUUGUGUGUGCCAGCAUGUUGGAGACAGUCAGUGUUUGAGCGCAGUGGUUGCUGUGCAUCUCAAGAUACAUCAGAUGUGCACUCAAAGAUCUGAGCAUGUUGAAAAGCAGGUGCAGAAGGGCCCUCCUGUCUGUAUGACCCG